GGUUCACCGGGAACAAGGGGAAUGGUUGGUCAAGCAGGAGAGAAAGGAGGGCAGGUAUUGUAAGCAUUUCAGUCUAAACAUGUUACGUAACACAAGAUUAAGCAUUUGAUUUAUAAUGCUCUUCUUUAGGGAUUGCCAGGACCUUCAGGUGAUCCUGGAUCCGUUGGAUUGGAUGGACCACAGGGCCAUCCUGGUCUAGUUGGUUUUGAGGGGCUAACAGGGCCAAAAGGAGAACAUGGAUCACGUGGACCCACUGGGAAGCCUGGUCCAAAUGGCCAUCUGGGAGAACAGGGACCUCAGGGCUCUCAGGGAAUGCUGGGUGCACCAGGACCACGUGGCAAAGAGGGAGGUAUUGGACCUCCAGGUGAUAUUGGUGAUCCUGGGCCUAAAGGACAAAAGGGUGAUCCUGGACAUCAAGGAUUCUCUGGACAACAAGGCCCAUCUGGAUUUUUGGGGGACAGAGGAGAGAGAGGACUGAAGGGGAAUAAAGGCUACAUUGGACCACAAGUUAGUGAUCUUGUUGAGCAAAACCCAUUUCUGUUGGACAGACCAACAUAACUAUUGUGCAC
ensembl:lncRNA